GGACUACACGGGUUUCUAAUCCCGUUUGCUCCCCUAGCUUUCGCGCCUCAGCGUCAGAAGAGGUCCAGUGCGUCGCUUUCGCCUCCGGCGUUCCUCACAAUAUCAACGCAUUUCACCGCUCCACUGUGAGUUCCACACACCCCUACCUCCCUCCAGACAACCAGUAUCAAAGGCACUUCUCCAGUUAAGCUGGAGGAUUUCACCCCUGACUUGAUCGACCGCCUACGCGCCCUUUAAGCCCAGUGAUUCCGAACAACGUUAGGACAGUUCGUCUUACCGCGGCGGCUGGCAC
rnacentral:rRNA from 1 species